rnacentral:rRNA from 1 species
GACGAACGCUGGCGGCGUGGAUUAGGCAUGCAAGUCGAACGGUAGGAUACCUUCGGGUAUCUGAGAGUGGCGAACGGGUGAGUAACACGUAGGUGAUCUACCCUCAAGAUUGGGACAACCCAGGGAAACUUGGGCUAAUACCGGAUGAAAGCAGCAGUGAUGUUGUUUGAAAGGUGGCGUAAGCUGCCGUUUGGGGAUGAGCCUGCGCUCUAUUAGUUAGUUGGCGGGGUAAAGGCCCACCAAGGCGAUGAUAGAUAGGCGGCCUUAACGGGUGGUCGCCCACACUGGGAUUGAGAGACGGCCCAGACUCCUACGGGAGGCAGCAGUCGAGAAUAGUCUACAAUGGACGGAAGUCUGAUAGUGCGACGCCGCGUGAACGAAGAAUCCCUUCGGGGUGUAAAGUUCUUUUAUACGUGAGCAGUGCCCUUUAUAUGAAUAGUAUAGAGGGAGGAUUUAAGCGUAUGAAUAAGCAACGGCUAACUCCGUG